ACAGGGCCGUAGCAACCGGGGGGGCUGGGGGGGCUGCAGCCCCCCCCCCCCAAUAAUUUGCUAAUAAUCAUUCUUUUUUCAAAAUCAUGCAAACUUUAUCAUUUAAUCUGUGACAAACUGCAAAGAAUGAAGAUAUUAUACUCAUACUCCAGAUCGUUCCUCGCAUAGAAAUUUUAGCUGAAUUUCUGUCGCGCAUUUUCAAGAAAAUCCCACAAAAUCUGCACAUUUUUGAUGAACUAAUGAUUUAUUUUGUCUUUUGCGUGUUGGGUCUUGCGAAAGAAAACUCUGAAAAUGCCAUUUCAGACCAUCUAGAGACUCCAGAUUUUCGAAAUUUUCUCAAAUGUUCUGCCUUCGUUUCCGCGCAACUGCCAUUUACGACGAAAAUUCCCGCCGCGUAUUUAUAAUACUACAGUCUGGCCCAUACUUUCCUGUAAAUUUCGACAUACUAAAACGCUGUUUUCUGACUAUCAGAAUUCUGUUAAAUCUUCCCCCAAAGUCCAGGAAAUGGCAUUUUAGAGACUCUAAAUUUAAAAAUUUCCUCGGGCCUUCGGCCCUCGCUUUCAGCCCCCCCCCAAUCGAAAAGAGCUUCCUACGGCCCUGCUUUAUAGUAUCAAUUCGUAAUAUUGUCUUAGUAAUUACUAAUUAGUUUGUGUAUAUUAGAACGAG